AGCAGCCGCGGUAAUUCCAGCUCCAAUAGCGUAUAUUAAAGUUGUUGCAGUUAAAAAGCUCGUAGUUGAAUUUCGGGGUUAGUAGGUCGGUCAUGCCUCAGGUAUGCACUGGUCUCACUGAUUCCUCCUUCCUGAUGAGCCGUAAUGCCAUUAAUUUGGUGUUGCGGGGAAUCUGGACUGUUACUUUGAAAAAAUUAGAGUGUUUAAAGCAGGCUAACGCUUGAAUACAUUAGCAUGGAAUAAUGGAAUAGGACGUUCGAUCCUAUUUUGUUGGUUUCUAGGAUUGACGUAAUGAUUAAUAGGGAUAGUUGGGGGCAUUAGUAUUCAAUUGUCAGAGGUGAAAUUCUUGGAUUUAUUGAAGACUAACUACUGCGAAAGCAUUUGCCAAGGAUGUUUUCAUUAAUCAAGAACGAAAGUUAGGGGAUCGAAGACGAUCAGAUACCGUCGUAGUCUUAACCAUAAACUAUGCCGACUAGGGAUCGGAUGAUGUUAAUUUUUUAAUGACUCAUUCGGCGCCG
rnacentral:sRNA from 1 species